UCUGUCCUGGCUAUGUCCUAGCGUUCCGGUAGAUGUGUAGUGGUCUGUCCUGGGUAUGUCCUAGCAUUCCGGUAGAUGUGUAGUGGUCUGUCCUGGCUAUGUCCUAGCGUUCCGGUAGAUGUGUAGUGGUCUGUCCUGGCUAUGUCCUAGCGUUCCGGUAGAUGUGUAGUGGUCUGUCCUGGCUAUGUCCUAGCGUUCCGGGUGUCUUGAACGACUGAUGAUCUUGCAUAUCUUUUGCUAUGCUUAUUUGCCAUCCGUAUUGUAGGGAAAUAUUUGCUCAAGUCUUUUGCAGAGUUUUAAAAAGUUGAAUUUUUUGGUUUCUUAUUGUUGAGUUUUGGGAAUUAUUUGUAUCUUUUGAACACUGUUUUUUGGAUACAUGAUUUGCAAAUAUUUUCUCCCAAUGCAUGGCUGGUCUUUUCAUUCCCUUAACAGUAUGUUUUGCAGAGCAAAACUUUUUGGUUUUGGUGAGGUCUGCUUUAUAAAAUAAUUUCUUUUUAAUGGAUUACUUUCUUUUCUUCUUCCUUUCCUUUCUUUCCUUUAUUUUCUUUCUUUCGUCUCUCUCUGUUGCCUAGGCUGGAGUUCUGGAGUUCAGUGGUGUGAUCUUGGGUCACUGCAACUUCUGCCUCCCAGGUUCAAGUGAUUCUCCUGCCUCAACCUCCAGAGUAGCUGAGAUUACAGGCGCCUGCCACAACACCUAGCUAAUAUUUUAUUUUUAGUAGAGAUGUUUGUCAGUCUGGUCUCCAACUCCUGACUGUCAGGUGAUCAGCCUGCCUUGGUCUUCCAAAGUGCUGGGAUUACGGGUGUGAGCCACUGCACCUGGCCAGAUUAUACUUUCAAAGUUCUAUCUGAGAGCUCUUUUCCUAGCCCAAUUUUUCUCUUAGAAAUUUCAUGGUUUUACUUUGCAUUCAAGUCUCUGAUAAUGCUUUUUGCUUUUUUUUUUUUUUUUUGAGACGGAAUUUCCCUGUUGUUACCCUGUCUGGAGUACAGUGGCGCAAUCUCGGCUCACCGCAACCUCCGCCUCCUAGGUUCAGGCAAUUCUCCUGCCUCAGCCUUUUUUUUUUUGAGACAGGAUCGUGUUCUGUCGUCCAGGCUGGAGUGCAGUGGUGUGAUCUUGGCUCACUGCAAUGUCCACCUCAGGGGUUUAAGCGAUUCUCCUGCCUCAGCCUCCUGAAGCUGGGACCACAGAUUCCUGCCACCACGCCCAGCUAAUUUUUGUGUUUUUACUAGAGACCAGGUUUCACCAUGUUGACCAGGCUGGUCUUGAACUCCUGAGCUCAAGUGAUCUACCUGCCUCAGCCUUCCAAAGUGCUGGGAUUGUAGGCAUAAGCCACCACAUCCAGCCUCAGUUCACUGAUUUUAGGUUUUAGUGUUUUAAUUUAGAACUACCUCCGUGUGCUGGCUCCAGUAUUUUAACGUAAUAUUUGCAUUGUGAUUAUGACUGUUUUUAGCGCACACCCCUUGAUUCCAGUGUAUUUAGUGCAUUUAGUGAAUGAGAAAAAGCUGCAUACAGUCUGAAUUGUCCUUAAAAUUCCUUCGCUUGCCUGUAGAGUGCAGAGACACAGGUCAGUGCACACAGGGAGGUAUGCAAGAUGGAGCGGAGUGUGCAGCGGGUACUACUGGCCCUGCAGGUGGAAGGCUGCUUCUGCUAAACUCAUGAUGUCGUGCAUCUGUGGCAGAUGCAUAGGAAUGCAUAGCUGGCAACGUCUGAGCCAAAGCCACAGGUCCAUCAGGUUCCUUUGUUUUUUUCUGUAGGCCAGAUUUGCAUUUGAGCCCAGAGUAAUUGUGAGGUAGUUCCAGAGAAACCCAGAGUUUUAUGAAACCCUCAGUCUUUUUGAAGAACAUAUUAGUCUGCUCUAGGGUUCAGCCCUACAGGGUCCUGUGAGCCCCUCUUUACCGGUGUAGAGAUAAGAAACUGUGGAAAUAAAGACACAAGAUACCAAGAUCA
rnacentral:lncRNA from 13 species